UACGUAGGGUGCAAGCGUUGUCCGGAAUUACUGGGCGUAAAGAGCUCGUAGGUGGUUUGUCGCGUUGUUCGUGAAAUCUCACGGCUUAACUGUGAGCGUGCGGGCGAUACGGGCAGACUGGAGUACUGCAGGGGAGACUGGAAUUCCUGGUGUAGCGGUGGAAUGCGCAGAUAUCAGGAGGAACACCGGUGGCGAAGGCAGCACUCUGGGCCGGUACUGACGCUGAGGAGCGAAAGCGUGGGGAGCGAACAGG
rnacentral:rRNA from 1 species